AGAAAACCUGUGCCUACUUGAUUCAUUUGCAGAAAAACAAGAUAGGGUUACCCAUUCAAAUUUUUAUAAAGGAAUGGUCAUAUUUUUGGGGAUCCUAAAAUUUGGUCUGUUCAAUUUAUGAAAGAGUGCAGAGAAUCAUUUAAAAAAUGUUCUUUGAUGUACCUAUUUAGAUAAAUUGUAUGGUUUUUCCAGACGAAAUAUUUUUUUUUGAUCCAGUUCACUAUGAACGUUUUGCUAAAUUUUCCACCCGGCUCAAAUUUAUCUAAAUUAUCGAUUAUAAUGGAAAUCGGAGAACUAUGUACUUGUGAUUGUAUACCUGAAACCGAAGCCAGUACCGAUAGGAAGGUGAUUUGUUUUUAUGCUUGGUGGCUCAUAGUAUGGGGCUUUCUUUUAGUCAUUUUUAUGGUUUUCUCGGUUUAUCAGCAGUAUGAAUUUGGAAAUAUCGUUCUUUCUUUUUUCUGUCCAUGCUUAUAUGGAUAAUACUUAUGGGACUCUGUGCAGUAUUAAUGGUUAUCUCAGGGGUCGUAAUGAUUUUUGGCGUUAAAAAGGAAAACAGGAAAAUGCUUUUUGCGGGAAAAGUACUCAGUUAUGUAUAUCCAAUUGGGUAUUGGAUUCUUGUCUAUCCCAUAGCUGUACAUUUCUUGUGCAUAAUUAUGAUGAACAGAUACGUGGAGAAAGAGUUCGAAGAUGACAGCUAGCUAAAAAUAUCUGUGUGUAAAAUAAAGUUCCAUCUAUAUUAUGACUACCUAAAUUAUGAAUAAAAUCCCGAAA